rnacentral:lncRNA from 1 species
CUCGUUCUGACUCCGGGAGGCUAUAUAAGGAGCUACUGGCUGCGCACUUCGGUCUUUUACGUCGGCCUUCGCGAGCGUCUGGGCGGGUGGUAGGAACAAUGGCGCUGUCUUCAGUGGCACAGUGGAGCAGCUCUGAAGAUGCAAAGAUACACGAAAAAACUUCCAGAACAUCUGGGAGAAUAUUUAAUGGAAAAUCGCUUGGUUAAAACCUGACACUUUUAACAGUGAACAGCGUUCUGAGUGUGGACGAGUAGCCAGUGAAGAUAAUGAAUGUCGAAUGUGACUGACUAGCAGCUUCAUUUUGAAUGAGGGUCGCUGUCUGCCCAUUGAUAGAGGCCAGAUUGUCUUGGAAGUUCCAAAGUUGCAACGAUUUCUGGCUAGUGCCACGAGGUUUACUUGACUGUUGUGUGAAAAGCUGAUAAGAAAACCAUCCAGAAAAAAGCUCUUCGUUUUACAAACAUGAAAAUAAAACAUUUAGUUGAAUCCAUGGACAUGAAACCCACAGAUAUAGAGGGUUGGCCCGGUGCAGUGGCUCACGCCUGUAAUCCCAGCACUUUGGGAGGCCAAGGCGGGUGGAUCACCUGAGGUCAGAAGCUUGAGACCAGCCUGGCCAACAUGGUAAAACCCCAUCUCUACUAAUAAUACAAAACAAUUUGCUGGGCAUGGUGGUGCACGCUUGUAAUCCAAGCUACUCCAGAGGCUGAGGCAGAAGAAUCGCUUGAAUCCGAGAGGCAAAGGUUGCAGUGAGCCCAGAUCACACCACUGCUCUCCAACCUGGGCAACAAGAGCAAAACUCCGUCAAAAAAAAAAGAUACAGGGUCAACUGUACACAUUAAACACUUCUAUCAACUAGUGAUGUCAGUCUUGUCCAUUGUAUUAUUGCCUAUCUUACUAAACAGUCAUAUUUCAGGAAGUACAAUAUACUCAAAAACUAAGUUAAUGUUCUUUGUAGAUUUAUGGUUAAUGGAUGAUUCAUAUAAUAGAAACUUAAAUUUAUUUGACCAUUCUAUUUAAUAUAGAAUAAAUACAACUAGCCAGGCAUGGUGGCUCAUGUCUAUAAUGCCAGCACUUGGGGAGGCCAAGGUGGGAGGCUCACUUGAGCAUAGGAAUUCAAGGCCAGCCUGGGCAACACAAUGUGAGACCCGUCUCUAUGAAAAUUUUAAAAAUUAGCCAAGCAUGGUAACACAAGUCUGUGGUCCCAGCUACUUGGGAGGCUGAGGCGCGAGAAGUCCAGGAGGUCAACGCUGCAGUGAGCUGUGUGUGUGCCACUGCAUCCUAGCCUGGGCAACAGAGCAAGACCCUGUCUCAAAAAUAAAGAAUAAAUACAACCUAUUAAGCUUGAGAGAUCCAG